rnacentral:rRNA from 1 species
UACGGAGGGUGCAAGCGUUGUUCGGAAUCACUGGGCGUAAAGGGCGUGUAGGCGGCCCGCUAAGUCUGAUGUGAAAUCCCCUCGCUCAACGAGGGAACUGCGUCGGAAACUGGCGGACUCGAGUACCGGAGAGGAAGGUGGAAUUCCCGGAUGUAGCGGUGAAAUGACGUAGAUAUCGGGUAGGAACACCGGUGGCGAAGGCGGCCUCUGGACGGAUACUGACGCUGAUACGCGAAAGCGUGGGGAGCAAAC